AAAACGACUCUCGGCAACGGAUAUCUCGGCUCUCGCAUCGAUGAAGAACGUAGCGAAAUGCGAUACUUGGUGUGAAUUACAGAAUCCCGUGAACCAUCGAGUCUUUGAACGCAAGUUGCGCCCCAAGCCGUUAGGCCGAGGGCACGCCUGCCUGGGUGUCAC
rnacentral:rRNA from 1 species